ensembl:lncRNA tumor necrosis factor receptor superfamily member 5-like
GCCGAGUGUCGUUCUUCAAUAAACUGCACACGUUCUGCAGUUCCACGGCUCCGCUGGCAGGUACAGCAGCAGAGAGAUGAAGAGACUAGAGAUGAAAAUAAAAUUAUGGUCAGAGUGAUGUGGGUGUGUGGACAGGAAGGCAAGUACAGGUACGAAAAAAAAAGCAGACGAAAUCUGCGUACGGAAGUGGGAGGGAGAAGAGAGGAAUAGGCGGCACACCUUGAAUAGAAAAAAAGAAAAAAUGUGCAGAUGAACAAUCAAAAACGGACAAAAGGCCAUCAGCACUCAGAUUCUCCUGUAGUGAUGGAUCUGCUCUCCAUGAUUUUACUGACGCUCAUACCUCACUUGUCCUUCAGUUAUCCUGUGCGCCAGAUCGGUACACUCUGUGACCCAGGGUACCGCCUGGCGAAAGGCCGUUCCUGUGUGGCCUGUGGUCCGAACACAUACACGGAUAAAAGAAAUGCGGAGCUUCUCUGCUUUCGCUGCUCAAGAGACUGCAAAGCAGAAUUUAACAUGGACGUUGAGGAGAAGUGCACCAGCGUGUCAGAUGUGAAGUGUCGCUGUAAGCCUGGGUACGAAUGCACCAGAAGGGACAGCUCUAACAAGUGUGACUUGUGCGAAAAGCCUAGAAACGUGGGUGUUCCAGGUAUGACAUCAGCAGUUCCACCAUGUGGCUUUGGGCUUUACUUCAGCUCCAGAUUGGGACGCUGUGAGAAUCACAUAGACUGUGUCGCUCAGGGCCUUACUAUCAACCAAGCUGGAAACUCCACCCACAACACUAUCUGUGGUGGACGACAAAAUAUCUCAGCUGAUUCCAGGAAUCAUUGGCUGUUGGGGGGUUUGGUGCUCGGAGUUGGGGUGUUCAGCCUCAUAUUCCUGAUCUCCUCACGCAGUCGAGGAGAAGAAGUCUGUUUCAAAUUGAUGAAGUGGUUCACACGAAGACCUCAGACGGGAGAGGUUAAAGUGUCACCUCAGGAAAAAGCACAGUGCUGCCAAGAGACACAGUCCCAUUCAUGCUCUUCAGCUGCUUCUGACCACGGUGCAGACAGGCCGGCUCAUAGACUCUUCAACACAGAGCCUGCUCCAUCUCCACCAGGAGCUUUAGGUCCACUCCACAUCUACCAGCCUGGCACCAUCUUUGUCAGCCUGCUGAAUCAGUUUGAAUCCGUUUUGGCUGGCGGCGGAGGAGAGAGGGCCGAAAGAGGACGGGAUGGACGGCAGGGCCAGACGAGUGACUGCAGCUCUCCGUCUUCUCCUACUCCGCUGUCCGAGGAGGAGAGGAGCAGAGAAGGCGAAUUCAUAUUUUUCCCCUCCCAAGAACAAGGGAAAGAGAGCCACAUGUCCAAAGAAGAAGGAGACUGAGUCAGGGUGAUAUAGCAGAGUGAGAUUGACGUGAGAUCUGAAAGACGAGUAACUAGAUGAAAAACUGCAGUAUAUCAUCAGGAGACUGAAGAAAUGCACAAUUCUUCACCGACCACCUGUGCCUGACGUGCUAAUGAUAUUAGCAUGUAUUUGCACUGCACAGGGAUUUUUCUUUUGGAAAUUAUUCCACUUCACACCUAAACAUUUACGGCAUUUAUCAGAUGUCCUUAUUCAGAGAGUCUUGCGAUCAGUAGUGACAGGGACAGUCCCCCUGGAGUGUCCUGCUCAGGGACACAAUGGUAGCAAGUGGGGUUUGAACUUGUGACUUUGUGGUCUUCUGGAUUGUAGGCGAGUGUGUUACCCACUAGGCCACUACCAACCUAGCGAAGAUACAAGAGGUCAUGUAGUGUGUGGGAGAGCCGACAUCGUGUUUACUGCUCGAUUCACAGACUGCCUGUUUAGAAAUGGGGAGGACUUCAAUAUGACUGAUGAGGCUGCAAUAUGCCAGUGCAAUAUGCCAGUGAUGCAGGGUGCUCCAGGUGCACACUGGGAUUGCGAGACAGAGCAGGCUGCUAACUUCAGUUAAAAUCAUCUAUGCCGAUGUAUACCAAUAUAAUGGUAAUUCGGUUUUAGUUGUUAGUUUCAGUGUUGUUUUAAACACCAUUGACUGUAUGGAGACACAAAUGAGCAGUGAGUUACAGGGCGGAGUUUGUGCCGCAGGACCAUUCUGGAAAUGCGAAAUAAAACACACUAUAAUGCAUGGCA